rnacentral:tRNA from 1 species
GCCUGGGUGGCUCAGUUGGUUAAGCAUCCGACUUCGGCUCGGGUCAUGGGGGUCAUGAUCUCGUGGUUCGCGGGUUCGAGCCCCGCAUCAGGUU